GGGCGAUUGGUUUAGUGGUAUAAUACCCCCUUAGCAUCGCAUCCCCCCAACCAACCACGGGGAACAGGGCUGGGGGUGGUCCAGGGUUCGAUUCCCUGAUCGUCCA
rnacentral:tRNA from 2 species